UUGCAUUAGCAUGAUUAUUUGAUGUGUUCAAUUUUCUCAAGAUGGACAUAAUCUUUUUUUUAAUGUAUCACGAACGAAACAUUCGACCCCUUAUCUUCAACGGUAUUGAGGUCUUCAAUGGUAUUUAAGAGUUAAGGUACAUUAAAGUAGAGGAUUUAUGGCUGGAUCUUCACAAACAAUAUUUCUAUGUGCGAGAUAGGUUAAAGGUGAAUACUGAUCAUGGAGAAAACGAUAUGCAGUCUUUUGGGCGUUUUUUUAAUUGCAGCUUUUGCAAGUUCCACUAAGGCACUCAGCUGCUAUGUCUGUAAUAGUGUGACAAAUGGCGGAUGUUCCGACCCGUUUGACACAGCCAAGGUGCCAAGGUAAAAGAUGAUUGUACCCAAUGCGCGAAAUUCGUAUCCAACAAUGAUGUGACGAGAGCUUGUGACCCUGACAAGACUGCCAACAACGGAUGUACUACAAAGGAUGAUCCAACUGGAGAGUUAUGUUUGUGUAACACCGACCGAUGCAACACUGCAUCGGCACCCGUUGGAUACAUUUCGAUCCUGUUGGUCGCCUGUGGUCUAGCAGCAUUUUGCUGAAAUGACGUUGCAACGUCAAAUGACGUCACGAAAUGUAAACAACAUUCGGGAUUUAUCAUUAUGUUUGCGUAAAUAUUUAUUUGAUUUGCUCAUUUAAAAGCAUGUGAUUUAAAAGAUCUGACACUCGUUGUCAUAUCAUACCAUAUUUUAUUAAACUCGUCCAGGAAAUUGGUAAGUAAGCUUGCUAAAGGCUCGCUAACUUACAAAAUUCAUAAACUCGUUUAAUAAAAUAUGGUAUGAUAUUACAACUUGUGUCAGAUCCUAUAUCUAUCAAAUUUAUAAAAGCUGUUUUGUCACUUUUAAUGUUCAAUUUAUUAACAAGUUAUCGUCACCGA